rnacentral:lncRNA from 1 species
CUUCCCCUUCCCUCCAAACUCGCAAACAAAGCCUUAGUUUCCUUAACCUAUGUGUUCUUAGUCCAAUGUGUAGUGAUCCCAUUUGAAAAUGGAAGGUUUUGAAGUAUAAAAGAGUCCUUGGGGCAUGCGCAUGCCUGCCCAAAGGCACAAAACACCCUAAACCCAUGAUUCAUGAAUAGGAAGUUUGUGAUCAGCUUAUAAUAGAAAGACGGUAGUUCAUUGACAAAGUUGAUUUUGAUCCAUCAACAUGAACACUAAUGUCCCAAAUUAACAAAGCUUUAGUUUCAAUGAUAAUAAUAUCACACAGUAAUAACUCACCAAGUUAAUUAACAGCAAGUGGCAUCAUGAAAUCUUGUAGUUUUUCUUUUCAAUUUCAGUAAUCAAGCAAAUGUUGUAAAUGUCUUCAUUGUUAUAGUUACAAAUCUAGGAACUCUUCCUAAGCAUGAAAAUACAAGAUCAAAGAAAAUUUAGAAACUUUAGGUGUAUGGUAUCAUGUAAUUCAACCACAAUAUGAUUGAAAUCUGGUGACAUACAUCUAAAAACAAUAUACAGCAACUAACAGUGCAGAUUAAACCCAAUGUUAGUCAUUUUUAAUUUGAUGCAGUACUAAGACAGAGAGAAUGGAUUUAGGGUGAGAGGUGAGAGUACACACCUUAUAUAAAUAAUGAUAUACAUCUCAUUCAAAUUUAAGUUGACACAUUCCUGAGGUCCUUGGCACAUCAGAUAAUGUUUUUGAGAAUGUCGUGCUUCUUCUUUAGGUCCAAUGAACUAUCAGCAGUAAUCAUCAUUGUCUCUAAAACGAGUCCUUUUUGCAAAACAAGCUCAACAAAUGACACCUCAUCUGGAAAUCCUUGAAAUUCUUUAAAUUGAAUAAAGGUAAGGUGGGAUACGAGACAAUUAGGAACACUUGGCAGUGGAAGGUGCAAUAUUCAACUUUCAACUAACUAUUGGGGAAAGACAUCAAGAUACGCUUCCACGACUUUGUGUAAGUUGUACAUGCUGAAAUCCUGGCCAAAUGUGAUUCGGGUAAUGUUAAGGUACUCAAGAUCAGGCGCAUUUAUUUCAAGGUAAACCCCAACUUCAUCAUCCUCAUUGGCAAUUUCCAACCUUCUUAAGGAAGGUGGGACACAAACUUUGUCCAAGCUUUGCGGAGAAAAACUAAGAUUAGAGGAAGUCUACAUUCAGGGACUAAAUUGACUAACAAAGUCUGCAUUCAGGGACUAAAUUGAAUAACAAAGUCUACAUUCAGGGACUAUUUUGACGAUUUCUUAGCUACUAACGUGACUAAUCUCCAAGAAAAGAAAACAAUUAGUUCAACGUUAUGCAUGCAUGCAUGCCUGAGGUGAUACGAGGUUAGAGGAAGUGAAGCUGAGGUAGGUUGAAACAAAAAAAUUAACUUUCUUUUUUUCCUUCAAACAAAAAAAUUAACUUUUUUUUUUUUGAGAGGAGAUUUUAAAUAACUUUAUUAUUUUGAAUAUACUUUUGAAGAUAUGUUUGAGUAGGUAUUUUGAAAAUUAAAUGAUACUCUUCUGUCCCAGGUUAAGUGAGUUAUUGUGAAAUAUAAAUAUAUAAAGGUGCAAAGAAUCAUAUGAUGGCACUAAAAUGAAAUUCUCAAGAACACAUGAUAACACUGUUCUAUUCUUUACAAAAGAAAACAGCUCUAUCCCAUCCCAUCCUAUAAAUAACUCUUGCUUUUAUAUAUACAGCAACUGCUUCUAUCUUUGACCAAAAAAAAAGUAACUGCUUCUAUCUGUAAUGCAAAAGAAGGUAUAUGAAACCUAUGUAACCUUAAAAAAGCCAAAUCAGAUCUACAGUCCUACUUUCCUUAAAAAAGCCAAAUGUAGGUUGUUAUGCACAAUGGAUGGGAAUCUAAGCAGCAUAUUCUUCUAGUUGGGAUGAGCUGCCAAGAAAUUCCAUCAUGACUAUGUGCAAAGACAAAUACCAUUUUCAAGAGCCUAUGCACAGACUACGUGAUUUCAUGACCGAAACAAUAAUAUAUCAAAAUAUAUUAUCUAUGUUUAAUAAUUUUGUCCGACAAUUGGUUUGCCUUGGCAGCUAAGCGAGCAGUUGAACCGACAGUCAUUGGCUGCAAUGAUAUUUGCCGGACCAUAGCACAGUACUCAGGAUCCUCAGUCUUCCCUUCAUACCUUAUCCACUGUACCAUUUCGUGAUACAUUGGAAAGAACCGCAUCUGAAUUGCUUUGUAUGAGAAGUAUGGUAUAAGAGUUGAGAUCACCACAAAGAAUGUGACUAUCCAAUAGGAAGACGAAGGAGCAAGAGCUUCAACGAAGACUGCGUAAGCGUUUUCCGAAAACCUUGGAGGAAGUGAUCCAUAGAUUAUGAGAAAAAUGUACCAGAAGAAAAUGGAACCCCAGAUGAAAAAAUGUUGGAUCAAGGUGAAGUAACUUAUAGAUAAUGCCAUUUGCAAGUUUACAACCCAAACUACGCAAGUGUACAUGGUUGUUCCAAGUAUUUCUCUUCCGGCAGUAUUUCCCUCGUGAUCAAAAGCUUGGAGCUCCAUGGCUUUGGUGCAGAAGAAGAAAAUUAAUAAGGCGCUAAAGAAUCCGUUAAGCAUCCAGCUGAGUACUCGACGCCAGCUGAAAAGGACAUUUUGCACUCCUUCUUGAUAUAACAAAGGAAACUUGAGGCAGUACCGAGCAGAUACGUCUUGGUCGAAUACACCAAGAGCGACCACAGGAAGUGAUGAAAAGAAGACGUUAUAGAGAGCUAAAAACCAGUCGUUGUAUGCAGGUUCUCCGGAGAAUGAUGCAUACACCUCAUACAAGAAUAGAGUGAAACCAAAUGUGACAUUCUUGUAGAAAAAAUAGCAUAUCUGUCAGAAUAAACAAUUAACACGUUAACAGAAUACCAAACAGUCAGUCAGAGGAACUUCACUAUAAUCUAGAGAUCCAAUUAUAGGCACAGUAAUAUUAAUACCAUCGAUGAGAUCCUCCGGUAACACCAAUGGCCGUGCACCAGAAGUAAUCGUUCCAAAUAUCGGAAUUGUGCAAUUGCAAUAUCACUAGACAUAACAGCCUGUGGAAUUAGAAGGGGAAAAAAGAUAAUGUUGUUUAGAAUAAAGAAAAAAGUAAAAUUCAAUGAAAAAAACAUGAAUAUUGUGUGAAUUUAUGCAGCACCUGCAUUCCUUCAACACCACUUAUACCAACUCCGAUAUCAGCUUCUUGAAGCAUUCCAACAUCGUUAGCUCCAUCGCCGAUAGCUAAUGUUGUUUUCCCGGUUCCAGAUUUGACCAAUCUAGUGACCUUUAAGAUAAAAAUUAGAUAAAUUAUUUCCUAUGAGGCACUCAUAAAGACACUAGACACAACCUUGACACCAGUAAUAAUAAUUUGAAAAGGAGAAUAAUUGUUUCUAAAAUGUAACCAUAUUUUUUAUCAGGACCAAUAUAUAAACACUGGAUCUUUCAAAAACCAAAAUAUAUGAACACAGGGUAGACUGAAAAAUACCAGCGCCUUCUGUUUUGGCGAUGAACGACAACAAAUAACAGAUGCACAACGAAUUGCAAGCUCGAGAAACAUGUUCUUCAUAUCAUCCUCAAGUGCAUAAGCAAGUGACUUCCCAUCAAUGAUUAGCGCAAAUGCCUGCUGAGAAAACCCUCUGUGUGCACUAAGCUGUGCAGCACCUUCACGUAACUGAGAGAGGACACUUUGCCUUGAUGUCUAAAAGAUGAAUCAACGAAAAAUCAGGAUACAAGUUUCCAGCUCUAUACAGUAUCAUCACAAGAACACUAACAUACCAUGAAAUCAUAGUGAAAAACUUAAAUCAUCAAUAAAGGUAAAAUAUACCAACUACCAAGCAAUAUAAAACAACUGAAAGUAUACCAGCUUGCACUGUCACCCUUGUACCCUUAGAAACAGAAGAGUAAUGCUAAGCUUAUGCAGUUACAGUAAUUCUUAAUAUCGCUUUACUAAACUGUUUUGUUCAGAAAACCAGAAUGGAAUCUAAGUUCAAAACGUCAGCAUUAUAAAGCAGAUUAAGCCGCCAUUUCUACUAUAAGAUAUGUUACUAGAAUAUUGCGAUGUUGAAGAGAACCAACUUAUAAACACGCUCACUGAAACUAUACAUUAUAUGCUCUAUAGUCUAUAUACAAGCUGCACCAUGUUAGAUAAAAAACUAUAUUAAGAGAUGAAGGUUUUUUUUACCUUGGUAAUAGCUAUUUUGUCGCCAUCUUUCUCCAGAGCUUGAAUUUCUGGAUUAUCCAAAUGAAUUAUAAUCUGUUUCAUUCCUUGUCUAAGCAAACUACAAGCAAAGCUGCAAUGGAGUAUUUGUGUCAGUUAACUUGAAAAGCAGAUCUCAUGAGGUGAAGCCUAUGUAGCACUGACACUUCACAUUGAAGGUGUGUCCCAUAUGCAACACCGACACGACAUACGUGAUUAGGUCAACUAUUUCAUUUCUUAAAUUAUAACUGGCGUUGAUAUGUCAGUGUUGUGUCCAACGUCUGUGUCAUUGCUUCAUAGGGUGAAGCCAUAGUAUAAAAAAUAAUAACAUUAAAUAUAAUACCCAAUAUUGAUAGCAGUUUCCAUUUUAUCCCCAGUCAAAACCCAAAUCUUAAUUCCUGCUUGGGCAAGCUUGUCAAUGCAAUCAGGAACCUUGCAAAAAAAAAAAGUGCAAUAUAAACAUGAUUACUAGUUCCAUUCCAAUAAUAAUCUUCACAAGUAAAACAUGAUUUUUUUUUUUUUUAUUAUAACUAACCCCAUCUUGGAGCUUGUCCUCUACAGCAGUAGCACCAAGAAGGAUUAGGUUCUUCUCAAUAUUAUCCGAUACUUCCUCAAUCAGUGUUUCCCGAUCUGCACUAACUAAAUUCUUGGCCUCAGAGAAUGUGUUAUCAAACUCCUUGUAUUCCUCUGCUGCAAGUUCACGAUAGGCGAGUAUAAGGGUUCUUAGACCUGCAUCGGCAUAUUCAUGCACAUGUUCCAUGGUUUUCUCUUCAAACUCCCUUCCAUUCUUGGCAAGUCUUUCAAACAUGACACUGCAUGAAAUAUCAAUUAAGGCUGGACAAUGAGUGAAAAACAAAGGACAUAAGUAAACAUUCAAAAUCAUUUAAGGGUACAGAUCAAUUUAUCACAAACCUAUCGGCACCUUUACAGAGUAAUAAAAUUUUCCCUUCGCCAUCUUGUACUAUUACCGACAUUCUCUUCCUUGAGCUAUUGAAUUCUAAAACAUUGAGAAUCUUGUACAUCCUGCAAAUUGAAAGUAGUUACUGAAAAACUGUAUCGUUGAGAUGAAAAAAAAUUCCAAAAAUUGUGGCUUUAACAACAUUUUAGAAGUACAAGCAUGAGUUAGUAUGUAUAAAGUGAAAAUCUUAAAUCCCAAACAGCAUAGUUAUGCAGGAAAUAAUUAAGGUUUGGAAAACCAUUGAACCAUUUUUCUCUCUCAAAACUUAGUUCUUUAAAACACCAUAAAGGUGUAAGGCAAAGGUACAAAGUGUACAAACUCACCUAUUCUAUAUGCAGCUAUAGGACCUGUUUGGAUUGGCUUUUUUGAAUUUAUCUACUAGCAUAAGUACUUGUGAAGCUGUUUGGUAGUGCUUAUGCAAACAAUUUUUCACCUGUCCAUAAGCUGUUUUCAGCUUAUUCCAUAAACUCUCCAGGAAACAUUAUGAAAACAGCUUAUCAAAUACAUAAAAACAGAAUGACUUUAUUUUAUAUUUUAUUAAUAAGUAGCUUAUACAAACAGUUUAGUCUACUUAAUUAAGUUGUUUAUCCAAACAGGGUUGUCUAGUUCUUUUAAUUAAAAAAUUCUUAUUGUCAUUAGAUGAUAAGCUGUUAUAAAAUGUAUAUCCGUCCUAAAGUUGUGUUUCCACGUGCAAGGAAAAUUGCAGCAGUAGCAGAAAAAUUCUAAGCAAUUGAAACAACUAACCUUUCAACUUUCUUGCCUGAAACUGGAUCCAACUCACAUGUCGAUAAACUGGUCUGAGCCCUUUUGAAGAAUUCAAAACCAAUUUCUCUCGCCGCAAUAACAAAUGCAGCUUCAUCCGGAGAUUCAGCCUCGUAGGAGACAUUUCCUGUCUCUUGAUCUAUUUCUGGUAUGGCUGUAUGACAUACGGCCAAUAGACGAAAAAACUUCUGGAUAACAUCUGCAUGAGGUUCAUUAACCCAGUUACCAUUCAUUAUUCUUUCAUCAGUAAAGUUAAAACUUUUAAUGGCUGCUUUUUUAUCAAGAGAAACCCUGAUGUGAUCUUCUUCAGAUAUAUCACACUCGUGAACUAACGAUGAACUUUUUCUUCUAUCCAUGGUUUUCUCAACUUCUGUAACACCACGACCAUAAGCUACACCAGCGAUCGAACAUUUGAUGAAUUCCAUCGAGUUGCAGGUCAAAGUUCCAGUUUUAUCAGAAAGUAUUGUGUCAACUUGACCGAGCUCCUCGUUCAAGUUUGAAGUGCGAGCAUGUGCCGGUUUGUCUGCUUCCUUGUAGUACAUAUGGAUAUCUUGAUUGAUGAAAAUGCUCUGAAGGACUUUUACAAUUUCUAUUGACACAUACAAAGAGAUGGGAAUAAAGAAACCAUACAACAUUAAGGCUGUCAAACAAUGAAAUAUAGCAGCAGCAGCCGGUCUUUUUGGAUCAAAGAAAAUUGUAGAGUCGUCAGGCCUUAAAUACCAUCUUUUCACCGAAUCGUUGUUCAAGUCAUCUUUAGUUAUAAAGCCAAAGAAAAUAGAUCCCACGGAUGCCAUUAGAAACAAAAUACAGAACAAGAAGUAAAUGACUCUAUCCAUCUUCCUCUCAACUCGGCUUCUUUUUGAAGGUGGAUCAGUAGAGUUCUGAAUAACCUUAGUCUCAUGACCAGUGAAGAUAACAGCUCCGAAAAUAUAGUCUGUAUUACGAAGUUUAGAGUCUCGCAGAAGAAGUUGCUGUGGGGAAAGGGCAUAGUUUUGACCUUCAAACUCCAAGCUCCCAACAAACGAGUACAGAUUUGCAUUUGGAUCUUCACAUUUGACAGUAGCUUUAAAUUUUUUGAAGUUGAGAUCCUCAUGUAAGGAAGAUGUUACCUCUAAACCUUGUUUUAGCUUCAAAUUUGUCUCGCCGUCUAAGUUCAUGGUCUCAACAUAGCAAACUGCAUCUUCAUAACUCGAUGAAAGCAAUAAGAGAUCCGCUGGGAAGAACUCAUUCUUCUCUACCUUCACUAUAUUUCCUACCCUCAGAUUCUUCCAUGCAGUAUAUUCAAAAAUGCCAUCAACUUUAUGAACUUUAACUCUUCUAUUGUUCACCUCAAUAUCCUGCAGAAGAAUCUUAUAUGUCACAAAUGAAAUAAAAAAAAAUGAAGGUACUAAAACCAUAUUACAGAGACUAAAAGCGUUACUAACUCAGUAUUUUAUCAUAUGCAGGGACAGUUAAAAAAUAUAAAAUCAGCAUUAGUAACCAUUGAUUAAAAAUAACAAUUUAAAUUUUCACAUAAUACAAGAAAAUCAUUGGCUCCGUCAAGUUUUUUUAGGGGUUACCAUUGGCAUUUUACGCUAUAAAGUGCACCCUGCAACUUAGCAGAUUCAAACAUUGAACAUAUACUGGAGUCACAUGAACAAAUAACGAAGUAAUUGCAGUUCUUCCUUUCGAAACAAUACCGAGAAACUAAACAGAAAAGCUACAAUAUUACAUAAGCUGCCUGCCAAAAUUUUACCUUUUGGUAAAGUACUUCAUGGCCUUGAAAAAAUACCACAAAAUUUUCAAUUAUUUACUGAUUGAUACUCUUUAAGCCAUUAAGUUUGGGUCGAAUUAUUUGAGCUUAUCUACAGGCAUAAACACUCGUGAGACUAUUCAGGGGAGAUUAUGAAAGAAUCUUAUGACAUGUCCAUAAGCUCUCUGGGAUAGCUUAUGAAAACAGAUUAUAGCUUAUAAGGAAACUAUUUUAUUUUAUUUUAUAUUUUGUUGUAAAAAUAGCUUAUGCAGAAGCACUAAUAUGAUAAGAACUUAAGCUAUACAUUCAUAACUAAGUUGUUUAUCCAAACAGAAAAGCUACAAUAUUCCAUAAGUUGCCUGCCACAAAUUUACGUUUUGGUAAAGUACUUCAUAGCCUUGUAAAAAUACCACAAUUUUUUCAAUUAAUUAAAUACUGAUAGUCUUUAAACCAUUAAGUUUGGAUUGACUUAUUUGAGCUUGUCUAUUUGCACAAACACUUGUGAGACUAUUCGGGAGAAAUUAUGGAAGCAGCAUAUGCCUCUCCAGGAUAGCUUACGAAAACAGCUUAUAGCUUAUAAGGAAACAAUUUUACUUUAUUUUAUCUUUCACCGUAAGAAUAGCUUAUACAAAAGCACUUAUAUGAUAAGAACUUAUGCUAUAAAUGCAUAACUAAGUUGUUUAUCCAAACAGAGCCUAAAUAAAUAAUUUAUCUCCCUUAUAUUUGUUUAACACUAAGUUAAAAGAUACUCAUAUCAUAUGUAUACAGAAUAUUCUGAUUCAUAUGGAAUCUCUCUCUCUACACACUUGUACUUCAGGAUAGAGAAGAAGGCAAAAAGUUUCAAAAGUAAACAGAAUCCACAACAGAAAGAGCUGGUAGUUAGAUAGAAUAUAGUACCUGCUUUUUCCUACGCCAAUCUUCAAUACCUUCUUUCACAAUAGUUGCUCCAAUAACAACAACAAGAGGAAGAAUAGCAGUAACAGCUCUAUAAGGAGCAAGUUUUGUGAAAGCCAAAACACCAGUAACCAAAAAAUAGAAAUUUGCAACUCUCCUAAACUGUUCAAAAAGUGAUUUUGGAAAGAAAGUUGCAGCAGUAUAUUUUGUAGAUCUAACAUAAUUAUCUGCAAAAUUCCUUAUCACAGCUUCCUCAGAAGCAGUAGCAGUAGUAGUAGUAGUAGUAGUAGUGUCGUGUUCAUUGCAUAACACCACUCUUGAAUAACCUUUACUACCAAUUUGUGAAUGAUCUCCAUCAACAGAACUUGCUUUGAAACAUGUGAAUGAAUAAAUCUUGCUUAAAUGUAGCUUCCUAUUUUUUCCACCCCUCAUUCUUAAGUCUUAACCACCCUUUUUUCAACAAAAUGAAAUUCAAUAUCAAGAAACAUAAAUUAAAAUAAGCUGAAAUAAUUGGUUUUUCAAAUUCCAAGUGUCACUGCCAAACUAGACUUAGUCAAAAUGGUAAAUUUCCAUAAACCCAAUUUCCAAAGUAUGGUCACUGACAUGAAUUAUAUCCUAAAAAUGCUGAGAGCUUCUUCAAAAAGCAAAAGAAAAAAAGAAAAAAAAAAAAAAACUACUUCCAAUUCCAACAACUACACAAUGCUAUCAUAUCAUAUCACAAACACCUCAUAACCCUAACCAAUAGCAGAAAGACCCAUUAAACAAAAAAACAAAUAAAGUAAAAGAUGCUAAACCCCAGAAAGGUUCCAACAAGAAAAUGCUCAAAAACCCUUAAUUUAAUCAAAAAAAUCAAAACUAUAAAACUAGUAAAAAUCCAAUCUUUAAAACUACCAAGAGAGAGAAAGAAGCGAUACACACAACUAUGAACCGAAUUAGGCCUGCAAAAUUGUGAAAUCUACAAUGAAAAACUGACACAAGACCAAAACAUAGGAUAGUGUCGGCAACAGAAAGUUCUAGAAGAGAAUGAAAAAACAAUACAAAAACUGCAGAUUUGAAUGAUGACAGUAUUGUCUCAAGAACAAGGUUUGAUCAAGCAUUUUGGGUAUAGAAAAGACAAGCAUUUCAUUUUCAGAACAUAAACUAUUCAUAUUUAGUUCAAUGUUUUUUUUUUCAAGAAAGUGGAAAAAAAAUACACUUUUUUUCCGGGAAAAUAAAGUGGGAAAAUGCUAACACAGAUUUCCACGUAAAACAGAUAGAACAAAGUUUUCUUUUUUCUCUCUUUUUCUUUAUCUUUAUUUUCGCGGGAAAAAGCUAUCAAUGAAGCUUUUUUUUUCGUCAAUGGUGGUCACCGAGAAGAAAUAGUGUCACUCUCAAUUUCUAUUUGUUUUUAUUUCCUAUUUAUCCAAAAAAAAAUAAAUCACAAUUAAUAAACCAAUAAAUACGACGACAUUUGAAUGAGAUGAUAAAAAAAUUUCUCUAAGAUACAACAAUGUUAAAUUUUUUUAAGUAAUUCUUUUACUAAUUUGAGUAUAACGAUGCUAGUUAAGAUAGAUAACAAAGAAAUAAUUUUUUGAUUAUAAAAAUGAUGAAAAUUAGUGUCGUGGCAAAUCAAAGUGAUGAGAGAAAGGACCAUCUAUAAAAACAUGUAAUAAAAGGACAGAAAGUGAUAUGAUUUUUUUUUUUUUUUAAAUACUACUAAAAAAUGAAAAAUUCUUACCAAUUCACCUAUUGAUUCAAUUUUUCAAUCUUAGAAGUAGAGAGAGGGCAGCACGUAUGCAUAUAGACAACAACGAUGUUUUCUUUAUUUAAAAGAUUAACAAGUGUUGAAGAUUCAAAGCCGACAAUACCUCAUAAACACAAUCUUGUUGACUUCAGGUUGGAUCCAGCCGAAAAGACUAAUCUUUCAUAACACGAUGAUUUGAGUUCUGAUAAAAAAAAUACUCAUAUAUAAUGUUCGAUAAUGCAUCAAAUAAAAUUAUAAGGACAGAUGUUUUUAUCAGCGGUAGUUGAGUGUGUUGAUGAACAUGAAAUGCGCCGUCAUGUAUUGUGUAUUCUAACAUGCUCAUGUUGUUUUUUGACUAGUCAUUCAUUUGAGUUGUUUGGAACCAAAACAUGUUCUCUUGUGUUCGGUUUUUCGUACCUAGUACCAUUUCCUAAAUAAAUUUACUGUUUUUUUCUCUACUUUAACUUUACUUUUUUUAUUUUUAGUAUCAAUUUAUACCCUAAAAUGCCAUCGUCAUUGAUUGUGUUUCAUAAAGGAAGGCUCUUGGAAACUCACUAGUUAAUUUACGUAGCACAUAGACACCUCUCAUUAAGUAUCAUUAAGUAUAUGGAACCAAUCAGUGACAAUUUUGUUAAUAAAUUGACCUAACAUUAAGUAUUAUUUCUAUUUUCAAAAAAAUAAAAAAGGAACAAAUUUUUAUUAAAGAAGUGAUGAAAAAUAGUGUCGUGACAAAUCGAAUUAAUGAGAAAGGACCGACCAUCCAUAAAAACAUGCAAUAAAACGACAGAAAGUGAUACACGGGUUUUCCCUUUUUAUCAAUAAAUAAAUUUGGGUAUUUCCUUUUUAUCAUUAAUAAGUAGAAGAAGUAUAAAUAAAUAAUGAAAAUAAAAUUAAAAUUUCUUAUGAAUUACCCUUUCAAUUCAAUUUUUUAAUCACAUAAGCAAAGAGGGAGAAAUAACACAUAUGCAUAGAGACUCAUUUUUCUUUUGACUCAAAAACAAUAUUAGGACCAAUGUGGUUGGAUAAAAAAAAAAAAAAAAGUCUUUUCUAGUUUUUUAAUGUGAUAAAUCAAAGUUUGAAUAAAUGAUACGAUCACCUUUAAUAUCCAACGAUUCAUCAAACAAGAGUAAUUUCGGUAAAAAGAAAUAAAAUAAAAAAUCUAUAUAAGAUCAGAUUUUUCAUUUUUGAUAAAAAAAAAAAAAAAAAAAAAAAAAAAACAAGAUUUGAGACAGUUUUGCGGUUCUAAGUAGAUGAGAUUUUAUACUAACUACGAAACACAUGAAGAAAAAGAUUUACCUCCUUUCAAUGACACCAAUGUUUUAGUAUGUGUUUGAUUCCCGAAUCUUCUUACAUCAAACACGCGUCUAACAUACCACUAAUCGUGAAAAUUGCGAAGCUAGUAUUUGGUGCUUCGAAAAACCGCGUGUCUGCAUAGCCCCACCGUGGAUCCAAACAGACUUGUAGUAUAAGAUUUUUUUACUAGUAAGUAGAUAAGUGUGUUGAUCAUGAACAUGAGAUGCGCCGUCAUGUGUUGUAUUCUAACAUGCUCAAGCAGUUUGUUGCCUACUCAUUUCAUCUGUGUUGUCUGUGAACAAAAACAUUUUCUCUUGUGUUGUUUUUUUGUUCCUGGUAUCAUGAAUAAAUUUACCUAUUUUUUCACUACUUUUCAAUAUUUCACUUUUUGAUUUUCGGUAUCAAUUUAUACUCUGAGAUACUGUCAUUGAUUGUUUUAUAAAGGAAGAUAACAGUAACUCAGCAAAAUUACACUUUUAGUCCCUUAACUUAAUUUCAGGUAACAGUUUGGUCCUUUAUCUUUUUUUCAUUUCAAUUUGGUCCUUUUUGUCCAUUUUCAUAUGAAUUUUUAAGCUUAAAAUUCAUGAUUUUAUUUUCUUAUGGUCUUUCAAUCUUCAAAUCUAUGAUACUCGUCUAUGUUUGCAUAAGAAUAUUAGAUUUAAAGCUUGAAAAUGUAUAUAAAAAUGGACAAAAAGGACCAAAUUAAAAUAAAAAAAAGAUAAAGGACCAAAAUAUUAUCUGAAAUUAAAUUAAAGGACUAAAAAUAUAAUUUUGCCGUAACUCACUAAUGUAGAACCGUAGGCAACUCUCUUCACCGAUUUUCCACAAAAAACAUUUUGGAGAGGAUUUUCCGCAGAUUUUAAAUAACUCAUUUAAUAGAAUAACUAAUGCACAAAAAACAUCUAAAUAGCAUUAAUAAAUAUACACAAUUAAUUAGUUCCUCAGAUCCACGUUCAGUGGCCAUUUGUUUAAAAAUAUUCUAAAGAUAAUAAAAAUAACCAAGUAAAUUAUCUCAAGUGUUAAAUAAGCUGCACCAAAGACAGGUCGUUCAGGGGAGCCUGUGUUCGAUUACCAGGUAGAACAAUUAUUGGCUAGGUUAGGGAGUGUUUUUUUAUUCUUGGCCAGGCUAGGGAGUGUUUUUUUUAAUUGUAUUAUUUAAUUAGUAAUAUAUCUACUCCUUUUUUAGUUAUCAAAUUAGCAUGAAAACUUUCAGAAAUCAUGUCUCCGUGAGUUUUGAUCAAUUGAUAAGGAUGCUGCAUAAUAUAUGUAGUGGCGGAGUUCGAACCACAAACACCUAAUUUAUAUUUACUAGAUUACUUAACAAAAAAAUAUUUCAACUUAUUUCUCGUUUUUAAAAUUCAAUGCAAUAUUUGUGACUGUUUGCAAUUAAUAUCACUCUUUUUAAUGGUGAGGAUAUGAGACAUAAUAUAAAUAAAUCAUAUCAUACUCAUAUAUGUUUGAUGCAUCCAUUGGACAAGAUACAUUAAUCAUCUUUUUAAUCCGAUUAUGAUGCGGAUUUGUAUUUUCCAUCAUGAGAAUAUGCUGAGGUUAGAAAUAACAUGAUAGGAUUAGAAAUAAAAGUACAUUUUUCAAAUUUUAUAAAUAAAUAAAAAAUAGUAAACAAUCUAAUAAUUAAUAAAACAACUUUUAAAAAAUCACUGGCACUACUAAAUAAAAAUAAUUCCAAAUUAGAAAAAAAAAAAAAAAAAAAAAAAAAAAAAAAGCAAUUUACCAACUAAAUAAAAUAUAUGAUACAUAUUGUAUGUAAUGACAACAAUUCCCUUAUAAGAACAUUAUGCUUUUUUUAGGAAAAGAACAUUAUAGUUAAGUUGUUAGAAAAAUAAAUUAAUAUUCAUGUUUUUAUAAUAUUAAUAAAAAAAAAUUUUGAAGGAAUAAGAUUAAUAAACUUAUUUUCAAGUAUUCUACUAUCCAUAGAUUUAUAAUUUUCUAGACAAUAUUAAAUGAAAAAAAUUAAUUAAAAAAAAAUCAUCCAUGUUUUCUUAAUUUAAAUCUUGUAUUUUUAUUUUUUUGAAUUUAAUAUCAAAUGCUGUUUUAUUUUUGUUUUUAAAACUUAAAUUUUAUCAUAUUUAUUUGUUUCAUAAUUUAUAAUAUUUUAUAAUGAUAAAUGUAUAAAUUAUUUUCUUAUCAUAUUUCGUUGGUUUCUAACCCAACUCAUAUCUAAGAUAUAAAUUUAAAUUAGAGAUGCAUGAUAUUAUAAGAUUCAAUAUUAACUUGCGGAGUAUAUUGUAUUGUCGACAAACCUUUCAUCAAGACAAAAUAUGAUACUCCCUCCGUCUCUAAUUAUAAGACCCUUUUGAGAAUUUUUUUUGUCCCUUUUUAUAAGACAUUUUUGUUAUUUUCAACUACAUUAAUUAUUUCUUUACAUACAUGCCUCUAUUUAUUAUACAUCUUUUUCUUCAAUCAACAAUAAAUAACAUGUUGAAAACAUAAACUAACCUUCUUUCUUAAAGGAUAAAAUUGUAAAAACAAUAGUGAUUACAAACAACUUUAAUACAAAUAUCCACUAUCUUAAUUCCCGUGAUUUUGGUAAAAGGGUCUUAUAUAUAGGGACGGAGGGAGUAUAUUUCUCUCAUGCCUCUUUUAUCUUGGUCAUUAAAUGAGUCAUUGAUUAUUUACCGCAAAGAGGAUAGAUAGAUAAAAUGAUAUUCCUUAAGACUUAAGUUAAGAGUUAAAACAUCAAAAGAUAAAAAAACCAAAGGAACACUGGGAGUUAUUCUUGUGUCACUUCCUAUGAAUGGAAACAAUAGACUAUAUUGAUCUCAUUAUAAUUUUUUUUGAGGAGUGAUCUCAUUAUAAUUGUCUCAUUUUAACUGAGCAUGAUUUUUGAGAAAAUAAGAGUAAUUGUGUUUAAUUUGACAAUGAAACGAGUUUCUUUUACUAAAUCGUUAGUGAAGUUAUUAGAAUGAUUGAGAUACAAAUAAAAAUAUAUUACAAACGAGACACUUAUAAUUAAACGAAGGAAGUAAUAAAGGAUUACAUCCUUUAGUCUCUAUUAUAAAUAAAAAUUGAUAUUUUAGAUUCUUCAAUAAAUAAUGUACGUAGUCUUUAAUAUAUAUCAAAUACAUCAUUUAUAGAAUAAACCUAAAAUAUUAAAAUUUGCUUACAAUAGUAAUCGGAUGGUGUAGUUCAAGUCUAAUCUCUAUUUCUACAAAUACUAUUUUUUAUUAACUGAGUUAAUGUAAAGUUCACAUAAGUUUAAAAGCAUGUGGACCUAUGAUAUUUAUUUACUUUGGUUAUAGAAGCAUCAGUGGGAUACUCUAACUCUCUAAAGGAAUAUAUCAUAUAUUGACAAUUGAGAAUAUAGCCAAAAUGAGAAGUCGUUUUUGUCAAUUAUAGGAUAAUUUAUAUAAGGUUUAUCCAUAUGGCCCUUUUGUCAUGUUUCUCACAAGAGACAGAAAUGCUAUCGCAAUUAGAACAUAUUUCUCUUUGAAACUUGGAUGGGAAAGAAUAAAAAGAUGAUCGAUGUAGAUAUUUAGAGUAAGAUAUUUAAUUUGUAAAGUGACAGCCAAAAAUUUAUAAUGAAAGAGAGUUGUUCAACAAACAUACGUAGAUCGGAUUUUGCAUGCAUCAGCACAUGAAUGUGAGACAAUUGCUUAAUGUUAAGAAUUAACAUAUAUGUAAUUGUAGUGGUUUGGAUGAGAAGAUUAGAUAAUUAGAUUUUUUUUUGGAGAGAGAUUAUAUUAGAUAAUUAGAUAUUCUACUAUACUAGCUAAGGUCUUUCAUAUUUACAAUUUUGUUCUUUCUCUCAAAAUAAAAAAAAAUAAAAAAUAUUGUUCUUAAACAAUACUAUUAAUCAAAUGAUCUGACCAACUUAACUACCAACUUAUGAUCAACUAGACAAUACCUUCAAUUAUAGGAUUUACUUAAUUGUUGUUCAUUUAUAGAAUAUAUAAUGUGUAUUUUUUUUCUCAACUACUGAUCUUUUUAAAUGAUUUUUUCAAUUAUUUUUACUUUAAAAUAUAUUUGUUUAUUUUUAUAUAAAAGUCAGAAUUUUAUUGAUUGAAAAAAAUAGCAUAACCAUUGAGGACCAAGCCUAAACCCAAUUAAUUACAAGUAAAACAAAAUUAGGUAAACCUAUUAAGUCUCUAACAUAGAAAGGCCUAACAAAUCUAGGUAAAGAGUUACCACCAUUGACCAUUAACAAGAUCAAUGCCAUGCUUAGCUAAAGCAUCAAUCCCAAGUUAUGUGUACAUAUACUAUUCAAGCUCUUAGCUACUUUGUAAACAAUUUCUCCGACUAGUUCUGUCUGAUUAUUCUCGAACCACCAUUUUCUCAUUAUUGAAUGCAAACACCAUAACUUGCGAGGCACUCAUUAAGUCGGAUACUAAGUUAGAAAAAAACGAUAUGAUAAAUUAGACUCAGACAUUAUUAAUUAAUGAUAAAGCCUUUUUUUUUGUUUUUACAAGAAUUAAUUGAAUAGGCCUUUUGCUCCUUUUUUUAGGUAAAGCAGGAGAGAGGACAGCAUUAAGGAGAAGCAACGACAUCCUAAUUAGGUUGGCACCCCGAUGAACUCCCAUCCCGCACCGCCACCUUUUGCUCCUUAUUCUUUCAAAAAAUAAAAAAAGAUUUUGCUCUUCGUAAUUAAAUUUAAAGAUAAUAAAAUAAAUUUUCUAUAUAAGUUAUCAAAUUGCGUACGUGCCUAAAAAAGGGUUGCCUGCGUAAGUGAUUUUUUAUUUUUUUUAGUUGAGUUGCCUACGACCUACGUAAGUGAUUAUCACAGCAUUUCGUUAAGACAUGUAUAAGUGAAAUAUUUAUAUCAAAUAAUGCGAUAAUUUUAUUUCACAACUGUACAUUAACUUAUUAAUGAAAAAGAUUGAUUGCAAGUUGCCAAAUUUUUUAAUCUUGACUUUGGUGAAUUAAAAACUCUAGUUGAGAGAAAACUAUCCACCUUGUAUAUGCCUUCAGAUUCUCAUAUAGAGAUUAGUCAACAUAAUGAUGUACACUUUGCAUCUAAUUUUAUUAUAUGGUCACGAAAAAAAACAAAAUUAUUUAUAUAAAUUUGAGUUAUAUCUUGGAUAUUGAUAUAUCUAACCCACACUUCCACACAGGGCCGUCUUAACAAAUUCAUAGGCCCGGUUUUAAUUUUAUAAGGGAUGCAAAAAAAAAAAAUCUGGGCCCCAAAAAAAUAAAUAAGUUAUUUAAAAAAAAAUAUAAUUAAAAAUCACACUUUGGUGGGUCUUGAACACAUGACCUCACACUCAACAAAAAAUAGCCAUGCCACUAAAGCAAGCUGUACAAAUUGAAUAAAUUUGCUUUUAAUAGAUAUAUAAUCAUUAUUUUCGUGUCUUACAUAUAAAAAAAAUAUAUUUUGGGCCCCAAAAAAUUGGAGACCCGGUGUCGUCGCCCAGCCUCGACGGGCUAUGGGCCGGCCCUGCUUCCACAUUAAGAUAGAAAGAGUGGUCAAGAAUGAUGAGAAGGCAACAAGAAAUUCAUGUGUGACUGGUUGAGCUAGGAAGGAUUCACUAGAACCAUUUGAAUUUUUGUAACGGUAAGAAUUCAUGUGUAUGUUUUUUUUUAUGCAACUUGCAAUAUGAUUUAAUUUCGAAAAUAAAUCAACUAUACUGAUUUUAUUUUUUUUAAAUCAAGUAUCUUCUGUGCGCGUAGCUGCAGAGACUAAUCUCUCGAGCUGAGUAAGAGUUUUAACGUUGUUGCAUGUGUAAGGUAGAUUCUAGCCCUGGACUUUAGUCAAGUUAAAAGAUAUCUAUGUCAUCUCAUGUAUCAUACUCGUCUAUAAUACAUGUUAAAAUAGUUCUUUUGAAUCACCUAAGUGGUAUGGUAAAAUGUCCAACCAUUUCACUCCCCGUUUUGAUCUUUUUGAUUGUAUGAUUUUAUUUUAUUUUUUUACCUAAAUUUAUGGUAUUAGGUAGUAUAUUCAUUUUGAUGUUAGGUGAGCAUGAAGUACCAUAUAUACAUUUCCAUAACCAUUUAUUCAACUAAUUAAUUUUACUAACUUGUUGACCAGCUGCUACUGGUCUAUUACAGUUUAGUAUAGUAAAAGAAAAUGUUAAUUUUAUGUUAAUUUGUUGUAGUCAGGUUCAUUCUAUUCUCAUAAUUUAUUAUUGGGUCUUGUUAACCAAUGUCCUUAGGGUACUAGUUAAGGAUUCAAAUAUAGAAAUAAUUUAUAAGUUUUAUGUAAAUAAAUUUACUUUUUAAACUUUCAAUAUGUCAAAUACAUUAUUAGAUAAAAUUUCCUUUUUAAACUUCUUAAUAUUUCCCUUUAUUAUUAUAUGAAACAUUGAGUAAUUAUAUAUUUGAAACCUUAUAGUUUUCCUUUGUUUUUCUCGAAAUAAUAUGGCUUGAUUGACUAAAAAAAAGUUGCUUGCUUGGUACAUAAUCUUUAACACAAAAUUAGACAUCAAUAUUAUAUAUUUGUAUAGUAAUUACCAACUUUUAUGUUACUUUUUCUCUAACCUUGGGCAUUUUUUUCUCUCUUUAGGUUCAACAUGACUCAUUCAUAUAGUGUUGAUUUUCGUAAAUGACACAGUUGAUGCAACAAUGGUUGAUCACUUAACAAAAAAACAUCAACCUCAAUCAUAUGUUUAGACCUUACACGAAACACUGGAUUGGAAGCAACAACCUUUGCACUUAGAUUCUCACACAACAAAAUUUGCAUGGUUUAUUAUUAAUGGGUUGAUAUAUCAGCUGUAUUAUUUAGACGAAUAAAAACUAACAUCAUAUUCCGACACUAUAUACGAAUGAGUGUGGACAUCAAAUAUGAGGAAAAAAAAUAUCCUAUAAGAGAGAACAAAUUAUAGAAAAUUUAAAAACCGUAUAAAAAUACAGGGUUGAUGUCAGAUUUUGUGUCAAAAAACAUUUGAUGAUUUUCAUUACAAGCAUUGCCUAAAGCUCGUGCUUGUUUCUAAUUACUGUUUAGAUUUGAUGAUUUCAACCAUAAUAUUACCACUCAAUUUCAUUGUAAGCCACAGGAAAGUAAUUUAUUAAUUGAAAACAAAGGCUAAGAUGUGUCUUUUGAUAGUGUUGUACAUGUACUAUCUGUACUAUAGUUGUCUCCAAGAAACACAUGACACAUUGUGACUUGUGAGUCUUUGUGCCUUUUGACCGUCUUGGUUAUAUCAAAAUUUCAUUUGAUUAUAGGCGAGUGAAUGCAUGUCGUGUAACAAAAUUCAAUCACCUCUAUUUUUUUGGUAAGAUAAACCAAAUAACAAUAAUCAUUCAUUCCUUCCUUUAAAAAAAAUAAAAAUAAAUCAUAAAUAGAGUAGUCUGGAUUUGAACCUUGGUCCAGCGUACAACCUAACACUUUCUUCAUUUAUCUUAUUUGAUUGAAUGUGUCGGAUAUUUUUGCAACAAAUCUAAAAUCUUAUAAGCAUCUUUUGAAAUUCUUUCUUUGAGGUCCAAAGAACUUUUGCAUUAUAUUGUAUAUUGUACUUUGUGCAAUUUAUAGUGUUAAAGUUAUAGUAAUUUAGUAUAGCAUCUCGUUUCAUACCUUUUCUAAACAUCGAAAAUGUCUUAAUGUUGAUUUGGAAUCUUUCCAUUCAUGAACAUCAACUUAUUAUUACUUGGACAUCAAGGUUGUUUUCAUAGGUCGACCCCAUAAAUUGUAAUUGAUUCCAUUCAUAUGAAGUGAACAAGAACAAUUCCUAGUACGGCUUGAGGGAUUUUGAGACUAAUUUGCGACAUUAAGAGGUUUGUGUUGCUUGAACAGGCUUUAUCCACAUGAUUGACGAUUAAGGAACAAUGCAUUGAAAUAGAGAAUAUAGAGCCAGAGACAUUUUCCACCCAAGUUUUAGAUCCAUGAAUUAUCUUUGGUUUCUCUUGGUAGAAAAACUUUCUCCACUCUCCAACAUGUUUUUUUCUUUCUUUCUUUCUAAUACAAAGUUUUAUUGAAUAGGGUCCGGUGGUUAACCAGAGUCAAUGUAGAUCUUAAUGUUCACAGAACAUUUACAAAUUACACAACAACGAAGUUCUAACUUUGAAUGUGAGAUUUGAAGUCACGUUCUUAUCAUAUAUGAAUCAAUUUCUUACAAACCGGAGCAAUCUGCGUAGAUCUUCAACAUGAUUUCAUAUAUACACAUUUUCUAUGGUUAAAUUCUCGUACAUUUGGUACGUACCAACAAAUUACGUUCAUUUAAAUAUCUUGAUGGUUAACAUAUAUUAAAUUUCACGUAUACAUUUCGUACUAGCUUGUAUAAGUUCACUAGAACAUUUUUUAUGGUUAAAGAUUCACAUACAGUUAAAUACACACAUACUAUUGUAUUUCAGUUGACGUAACAAGUUAGUUUUAGCCGCUUAAGUUCAUGUGCAUAGUGCAUAUAAAAUAUGACUAAUGUUAAGCUAUAAAUUUUAUUUCAUCGACGCUUUUGGUAAAUAAGAUUAAAUUAUUAUAAUUGUUAAUGAUAGAAAAUAAUUAUUUUUUCUUCAAAAAACAAUCAAUUUAAUUAUUAAUUUAAUGUUUGAUGUACCAAUACAUUCAAAAUAUUGAGUGUACCAUAGAAUUUGCCAAUUAACAUACACCGUAUGAAUUGAAUUUGCCUAGUGUCUGUAGAUUGCAUGAACUGAAUUUGCAUACGUGUUAACACGAGUUUCAAAUGUAGAAAAAAAAAAUAGCAAACAGAGAAAAAGGUCACUUGUAUGUAGUUAAUGAAAGAUAUUAAAUAGAAUGUAUAUAAGGUAGGGGUUCUUGGGCAUUAUUGUUAAAUAAUUUGUUUUAAAGGGGUGUAACUAGGAUGUUGCAUGGUGUAAUUAUAAAAAAUCUUGUUUUUGUGAUAUUGGCCUAUGGACGGUAUUUCCUUAGAUCAAGUCUUUCAAAAGCUUAUAGAGCCCAAUUUUUCAAUAUCUUUUAAAAGUGGCUCGAUAAACAUCUCAAUUUCGCUUCCGAUCGAGUUGUAACUUCCGAUCAAUUGUUUUUGCGUGUAAAAUCCAACUAGAUCGUAACUCCCGGUUGACUUUUUUCAGCUAAAUGAUGGAUGGAUGGUUAAAAUAUAUUGCAUAAACUAUUGCAAAUUUAUAGUUUUUUAAAAGAAAAUUUAAAAUAGAGGAGAAAUUGACCAAAUAUAUGCCACCUAACACUAUUCACACUCCUAUUUUUGUUAAGGUUCGUUUACAAUACAAAUAAGCAUACAUACCCUGUAUUAUUUGAAGUGAGUAUACCCUGUUAAUGUUAAGUACACGUAUUCUUUUUUCUAUCAUAAAUUAUGUCACCUCAUAAUCACAUUGGUACAUUGGAUCAUCAGAUUUUAACAUAACCAUGUCAUCUCAUAAUAUAAUAUAGUUCAUAUGUAGAUAUAAUUGGUAAAAUUAUGUUCUCACAAACAUCCAAACCAAGAGUUCUGAUUUCAUUGGCCCCUUGAUAUAUGCUUUUUCCUUUGUGGACAUUCUAUGUUUGAUUAUCAGUAGAGAUGUUACAACUACAAGAAGGUUACAUUUCCUCUUUCACCAUAUCAUCUACAUCUCUAAGUAUUACAUCUCAACCAAAUCACCUUAUCAUAAUACACAAACCAUACUCCAUAAAUAACAAGCUAAAACUUAUCAACCAAAUCAGUAAAAUCACAAACAUCUUCUUACAAUGGCUGCAGUGUUUUGGGCAUUGGCUUUAGCAAGCCUAUGCUACCCUCUAGCCUCAAUCAAUGCUCAAUCACAUGCAGCUGCACCAUCCAAUUUGCCAAUUACAACUUCACCGUUUGUAGCGAAACAACAACCUGUUGUGGCAGCAAUUUCUCCUACUUCUAACAAACCCACAGCCACGGUCACGGCAGCUGCACCAUCGAAGUUGCCAACCACAAAUCCAUCGGAACCAUCAACACUGCCAUUAUACAAACAACAGCCUAUUGUGGCUGCAACUCCUGCUAGUAAUACAAACAAACAACAGCCUAUUGUGGCAGCAACUCCUGCUAGUAAUACAAACAAACAACCUGCAGCAACUUCUCCUACUUCUAACAAACCCAUAACCACAGUCACGGCAGCUGCACCAUCGAAGUUGCCAACAACGAAUCCAUCUGCACCUUCCACAUUGCCCCUAGACAAACAAAAGCCUAUUGUAGCAGCAACUCCUGCUAGUAGUACAAAGCAACCACCAGCAGCAACCUCUCCUAUUUCUAACAAACCCUCGACCACGAUCUCAGCAGCAGCACCAUCCAAAUUACCAACUAUAAUCCCUGCUGCACCUUCCAAGUUGCCAACGGCAGCUUCACCAACUUCUAGUACACCAUCCGCUGCUAAAAAACCACCUAUUGUCGUAGCAACUUCUCCCUUGUCUAGCAAACAACCAACCACCACUCAACCGCCUACAACUGCAAAAUCAUCCCCUGUAAAAUCACCAGUUCCUAAAGUUACGUCUCCAGCAUCUUCCCCUGUGAAGUCACCAGUCCCCAAAGUCGCGACCCCAACAUCUGCUCCCGUGAAGUCACCAGUUCCAAAAGCUACGACUCCAACAUCUGCUCCUGUGAAACCGCCAGUUCCAAAGGUUGCAACUCCAACGGUUGCACCGGCUAAACCACUGGUUCCCAAAGUUACAACUCCAACAGCUGCACCUGUGAAACCAAUAGUUCCAAAAACUACAACUCCAACAUCUGCUCCUUUGAAACCACCAGUUCCGAAAGCUCCCGCACCAAAACCUUCUCCUGUGAAACCACCAGUUCCAAAAUCAAAACCUCCAACAACUGCUCCUGUCAAAUCACCAGUUCCGGAUCCUCCAAAACUCGCUCCUGUAAAGUUGCCAGUCCCAAAGGUUACACCGGCAUUAAGCCCAAAAACCCCAUCCCCUAAAAUUCAACCACCACCACAUCCACCCAAAAAAGCACCUGUUUCUCUACCACCAUUAUCUAUACCACCUGUUUCACUUCCACCAUUACCAUUACCACCAGCUUCUAAACCACCAAAGGUAUCCCCAGCACCUGCAAAGGUUCCAAAAGCACCAGCACCGGCCAAAGAAGCACCAGCACCAGCACCUACACACAAAAAGAAAGCACCAGCACCCGCACCAGACAAAGAAACACCGGCACCAGCACCUACACACAAAAAGAAGAAAGCACCAAAAUCAUCACCUGUUCCUUCCCCAGCAAUUCUCCCACCAUCACCUGCACCAACACCUGCAAUAGACACACCAUCAUCAGCAC